CAUCAACGUCUCCUUCUACAUCUGUAUAUGAAUUCUUCGAUUCAUUUUGCUUGCUGCAAUGUAUUCCCUUGGGGUUUUUUUUUUGCUGCAAGAGUGCUUUCAUUGAAACAUUUAGAGAGCGCAUGUUUAAGCCUUCCUUGUCAACUAUAGUUGGUGAAAAUUCAAAGUUAAAAGUAGCUCUGGAACUGUAAAUGAUGUGGCAAACUCAAUUAUGCAAAAAUUUUGGGACUCAGCGUUAGCGCUAGAGCCACCAGAUGAUUAUGACACUCAGAAAUACUUUGGUUGUAUCUAUUUUACUUCAGUAUACAAUUUGUUUUGGCCAUUUAACAAGCAUUUAUGUUUGGUCGCAGUGAAGUUUCCGGGAUAAUGAAUUCAGAUGGAGCACAUACUGCAAAGUCUACAUACCAAUCUGUAGGUCAUGGAAAUUCAUUUACUUUUAAAUUUGAGGAUCCUAAUGGUCAAGUGCAUCGAGUCACCUGUGGAGCGAAAAAUCUAGAUUAGCUUGUAUCUGCUAUCAUGGAAAGGGUCAGUAAUAAUGACAGAUCACGCCCCGUAAUUUUGUAUGAUGACGAUGAAGGUGAUAAAAUUGUUAUUGCAAACGAUAGUGAUCUCGUUUCUGCUGUCAGCUAUGCUCGAUCUGCAGGACUGAAGGUGAAGAUUAUGCUUUUACAAGCUAUUGUCUCGGUUUCCAUGGUUUAAUUCUUAUUUGGUGUAUGCAUUUAAGCAUCUUUGGCCUUGAAGUUGGAUUUGGGAGUUUACAGAUUCAGCUAAACCCGUGACACCGCAAUCUGCAAUAGCCAUGACCACAACUACAGCUACGAGACGGAGAACAGAAGUUCAGCUAAACCCGUGACACCGCAGUCUGCAAUAGCCAUGACCACAACUACAGCUACGAGACGGAGAACAGAAGGCGGCAUGUUGUCCAUUUGCUCGAGUAUUUUUGCAGGUGCUGUUGUUCUAACGAGCAUUGGCGUGGUGGCUUACUUGAAGCGCUCAAAUCAGUGAUUUCUUCACCAGUUGGAAAACACAUCAGGCAGUAAAAAUUCAUAUACAAUAAGAACUAAACACAACAACAGAUGCAUAAGGAGACGUUGAUGGAGAGAACCACAUUGAGGGGAGGCCAACGAAGUUUUAGGGUUUAAACAUGAAGCCAGGGACUACAUUGGGGAAUUUUACAACACAAUCCACGUCAUCUGUACACUCUGACAUCCAACGUGACAGUAGCUGUGCCACAUAAGCAAGGCCGUCGCUGAGUCACGCCGGAAAUUCACCGAAGGACCAUUAUGGUGCCCGAAUCGCAAUCUGGAGGACAUAAAUAGUGUAAUUGGAAUCUCAGGGGCUAAAUUGGUGCACGGGCUGAAUCUAGGGGACCAUUAUGGGGAUUUAGUCGCUUUCUUUGACUACUGAUGAUUGAUUGUCUUUAGACUAAGAAAUUCCCUCAAACAGUUUAUAAUGCUUAGUCAUCGGAAAAAAAAAAUAAAAAAAGAACUAAAAAAUGUCUUAACAAACAAUAUUUUGUAUGCAUCUGCAAUAUAAUAUUUUAAGUGUAAUUAACUGUACAAAUAAAGAUGAUAAUA